CCCUUAGAUGUUCUGGGCUGCACGCGCGCUACACUGAAGCGUUCAACGAGUAUUCACCUUGCCCGGGAGGGUUGGGUAAUCUUUUGAAAACGCUUCGUGAUGGGGAUAGAUUAUUGCAAUUAUUAAUCUUCAACGAGGAAUUCCUAGUAAGCGCGAGUCAUCAGCUCGUGCUGAUUACGUCCCUGCCCUUUGUACACACCGCCCGUCGCUCCUACCGAUUGAACGUUUUAGUGAGGCAUUUGGACCGACGCAUCUCAGUUUAACCGCUGGUUUGUGUUGGAAAGACUUCCAAACUUGAGCGUUUAGAGGAAGUAAAAGUCGUAACA
rnacentral:rRNA from 1 species